GGAUGUGCGGGUGAUCUGGCUGUGACAUCUGUCACCCCACUGACCGCCAGGGUUGAUUCGGCUGACCUGGCUGGCUUGGUGGAUGGCCCCUUCCUCCCUCCCUCCCUGCUCCAUGUUUGACCUUCCCGAAGCUGCACACUCAGAGAGGACAGGUCUUUGGUCAAGGGUAUACGAGUAGCUUCAUUCCCCUGCUAGAACCUCUAUCUAAAGUGCUUAAGAAACUGCAUCUUAAUAUGAUGGAGAAUGGAAUUUCAAAGGGGAAAGU
rnacentral:sRNA from 1 species